rnacentral:rRNA from 1 species
CCCUUAGAUGUCCUGGGCCGCACUCGCGUUACACUGAUGCAUUCAACGAGCUUAUAACCUUGGCCGAGAGGCCUGGGCAAUCUUGUUAACGUGCAUCGUGAUAGGGAUAGAUUAUUGAAAUUAUUAAUCUUGAACGAGGAAUUCCUAGUAAACGCAGAUCAUCAAUCUGCAUUGAUUACGUCCCUGCCCUUUGUACACACCGCCCGUCGCACCUACCGAUUGGAUGGUCCGGUGAAGCCUCGGGAUUGUGGUUCUUGCCGCUUUAUUGUGGCGUGACCGCGAGAACUUGUCUAAACCUUAUCAUCUAGAGGAAGGUGAAGUCGUAACA